CAAAUUUUCCCCUUUACCAAAAUUCUAAUCACCCUGUUCCCUUUUAUCUCCCUCGCCCCUCUCGCGCUCCACACUCUUUCUCUCCAUCUCUCUCACACACAGACUCUCCGACGCCUCUCUCUCUCCCUCUUCAAGCUUUAACCCCAUGAUAGACUUGGAUCGGAUGCCUAAAUCACAAACUCGCCGAACCUAUCACCGCUGAACCCAAUCGAGACAUUUUUCCGUUUCGAAGACGACGACGUCGUUGCAGACUUCAAUUGAUGGGUCGGGUCACAGAUCGUGUACGACUCGGGGACUCACAGGCAUAUCAAUUCAAUGGAUGGGUCUUCCCUUUUUCAUUAUCAUAUACUUUGUGUUUGUGUAUAUGUUUGACUGACUUCGUUUUUAGUUUUUCAAAAUGGUCUUGUUAGGGUUUCCAUCCUUGAGUUAGGAUUUUUCACCAAUUACGAAAGCAAUCUGGAGCACGAUUAAAGGAGCAAAAAACUCGCUAUACAAUUGAGUUGAAGAGGAAGAUACACACUCAUCGAAUUGAAGCAGUCUUAUGGUGGUUUGGCCUAAUUAUUUGGUGUUGGUUUGUUAUACAUUUCAGUAGUUGCACAUAUCCAAGACAAGAUGUCAUCGCUAGCUAUGAUGGAUUACUAGAUCUUAUUUUGAUCUCCAGUACUUUGUAACUAUGUUUGUAUUUUGUUGGAUGUUCAAAAAAUGAUGGUAUUGGAUGUUUGAUAAUAAAUAUAAUAGGUUCUUUUGGUUUAA